UUCGCCUGUUCUCUUCACCGCUUUUCCACCCAAUCACUUUUCGAUUGCUGGCAUUUUUUUCAAUCUUUAUUUCGACGAAUUUGCUUUUCUUGCUCUGUUUCGAUCUAUCGUUACAUUCAUUUUCUUCCUUCUCCGUUUCCUCUUCUAAUUGCAGGUGAGAAUUUUUCACUAUCUUUCAAGAACCAUUGAUGUUUGUACUCUAAAUUGAUGGUGCACGUUCACGAUUGUUGUGGUUGUCGGGUUCGGUGGUGUCACCGCCAUCAGAUCCAACAUCCUCUACAUUUCGCUUCUUCAUUUUAUCCCUUCUUAAUCGUUGGUGUCAGAUCUGAUUUUUGCCUCUUCGAUUUUACCUCAACUGAAAAACCCUUCGUUCGCCUUCCAACUGAAUUUUCCUCUUUAUUGUUGAUAUUCUUGAAGAUUGUGUUUGGGUUUCUUCUCCAUGCCUAAAUGUAGCAAGCAUAGUUUGUUUCAAUAUGGAGAAUUGUCACCUGGGAGUGUUGCACCUAAAUCAGGGAAGGCUCGCCGACAGUACGUAUGUUGGAAUUGAGUUCUGAUUCACAAAUUACUUUGAAUGCUCUUAGUGUAUGUUGGAAUUGAGUUCCGAUUCACAAAGUAUUAUUGGUCAUAAUUUAGAAACAUCAAAUAAUCAAACAAUUUGAUCUUUUGAGCUUAGUGAUAAUAAGUUGGUUAAAGGGUACAAAUUUGGCUUUUGUAAAAGCCAUGCUUAAUACAAGAAAUUAGAAGUUUCAUAUUUGUGAUUACUAAAGUAAUCGAAGUAUGUUGCUUGGAACAAAUCUAUGUUCAUUUUUUUUUAACCUAUAGAUAUGGGAUUUUUUUUUUGAGAAGCUGUAACUGUUCACAAACAUGUCCAUUUUUAUUUUAUAUAUUAAUGUCCUGUUACAACAUCAUAUUUUCAACUUUUUCUUCAUUUGAAACUUUAUGCUUUUUAGCAAUCGGUUUGGUCCAACAUUCCUUUUCCAACUUUGGUCACAGGUAACCAAUCCAAAAGAAAAAAAAAAUCUUAUGAAUGAAUAAAGUAGACUUGGUGGAGAAAAAAAAGAUUUAUUCAAGGUUGUUGAGCAGUGUAGAGAUCUUCCUGGAUAUGAACUGUAUGUUACCCUUUUUGUGUAAUAAGUUUCUUUUCGUCCCUGUUUUGCCCCUGAAUUUACAUUUAUUUGCCCUUUUGUUCCUGUAGGCGUUUCAUGAUUUAUGGACUUAAGGGUUCUAGUGUAAAAGAUCUCAUAUAAUAUUUUAUGAAACAGGGAAUCUUUCAAUAAUUUUCAUGUUUAAUGCUAUUUUUCGUAUUGUUUUGCUGCUAAUAAUUUUGUGUUUUUGUCGGUGUAUGCAAGUUUUUUAUAUUAGCCAAGUUAAAACACCAUGGGAUGAAGUGGUUAGAGAAAAGUUUCCACACCGUACACAUCAGAUUUGAGAACUUGUGAAGCUAGCAUUCCUGGGAUUACUCAUCCAACCAAUGUGUGUGAGCAUGUUGAUUUCAACUGGAUUUGCAAGUGUGUAUGUGUGUGUCGAUUUCAACAACCACCUUCGAAAAUCAAUCAACAACAGAUCUUUGAAAUCAAUCUGUUGAUCCUCUGAUUUCAGAUGAACAAAAUCCAUUUUAUUGGCCUCAAACAGUCUAAUACAUCAAGCAGUGUAAGUAGGUUAUUGCAAGGUAUUUGAUUUGGAUGAUGAACCAAUAUCCCAGUUUGCAAAUCAAUAAAUGAACGAAACAAGUAUGUGAUCUAUUUUACCUUACGAAGACGAAGGGUGUAUGUGUCUCGCUUGUGUCGUACUCUUUGUUGCUUCCCUCAGGAAAUCCUAAACCCACUCACUUUCUUCAUUCGAUUUCAGGUAGAAAUCAAAGAGUUGGACCGCUAUUCUUGUAUGUGUCUUACCUCUCCCCCUCGAGGAAUUGAAUUUUAGGUCUGAUAUACCAUUGAAGAACAAACGAGUGCUUUUAGUUGUUUGUAAUUUUGAUUACAGGUGAUGGUGUUAGCUAUUACGAUGAUGGUGGGGUGAAGAUGGUGAUAUGGGGAUCUCGAUGAAUAGUAGAGAAGAAGAUAGUAUCUGUAAUGGAGGUGCAGUGUGAACUCGAUGGUGAUGUGGAGAAGAUGGAACCCAAACCAUGAUUUCUGAUCAUGGUGUUGGUGGUUGAUUUGUGGUGGCUGGACGAAGAGAUGGUGGUGAGGAGUUGGGUUUUGAAGAAAACGAGAGUGUUGAAGAAGAUGAUGGUGGAUUGAAUCUUUGGAGAGAGAGAGAGAGAGACCCUUCUUAUUUUCUUAAUUAUUAAAACAAAUAAAUUAGUAUUAGAUUUAAAAAGAAAUUAAAGAAAAAUGGAAAAUAAAUACCCCAAGGGUAUUACAGUCAUUUCACUAUUUGGAAGGACAAAAAACACAACCAAACUAAUUCAAAAGGACCACCAAUCCAAAAAAAUCAUGGUUUAGACUAAAACCUAAAAAAAAUGCAUGACAUUUUUGCAAUUUUGUCUUGAGAUUAUUAUAUAUGGUAUAAAUUAAAGUAAAAAAUUAUACACAAACAUUUAGAAGCUACAUACACAUUACACACGGUGGCAACGACACCAAAAGGCGGUGCCCCCACUUCUACCCCGAGCCACAGCAAUUUCUUCAUCGAUGUAAAACCAUAUAAAGAAGGGAUUCUUUGUGGUUGGUUCAGUCUCAUCGUUUCCUUUAAUGUUUAUUUCAAACGGGUUGAAAGGUCCCACCUUUAUCCGAAUAAGCUCAAAUACAAAUGCAAGUAUUCUCUUUUUCCAUGAAAAUCUGCCUUCAAAUGUUAGGCACCCCAGAGGACCCAGGUACACACCGUUCUCGAUCCUCCUUGCCUAAAUAUUAGUAGUAUAAAAUUUUACCCAUGUUGUCAAACAAUUAUCAUCUAUUAAUACAAUCACGAAUUUGCUUUUCAAGUAAUUGGUUAGUAAGAGUUAUUGAUAUGAAUUAGGAAUUGUGUGUUGAUGUAAUUGUUUUGGAAUAUGAACGAAAUAUUUUUUUCCUCCACUUCUCAAUAUCAAUUAAUGCUUGCUUAAUCUCAUUAGAAAAAAAGAAAUAAGUUCAGGAUGCUUACAGCUGCAUCAAAUCUCUGGACAGCAGUAAUGGGGAAGUAUUUGCCACUUUUCAAUCCUUUCUGUAGAUAAAAAUAGUAUUAAGCACCCAUUAGAGUCAUCAAACAAGGAUACAAAAAACAGCAAAAUGCAUAAUACAUAUGAACUACAAAGGAUCAGUGGUUAACGUCAGCUGUAAAUAUAAGCAUCCAAGUUCUUCCAGGGGAUUCUGAUCCUCCAAGAGUCUCACAAAACUGUGAAGGAUCGAGUUUAGCCUUCUCCAUCCAUUUCAAAGCAGACAGAAUCUCAGUAGCUUCAACCUUUCUAGUCUUUGCAGCUUUCUUCAGUACUUUUAUGCUCUCCUCAACUUCCUGAACAAGACUUACCAUUAUAACUCACUCACUCGUAUCAAACACAAGCAAUGAUCAUCAUUAAAAAAAAAAAAAACAAUAUUUCAUACAUACCCAGAUUUGAUUACAACCAAGAAAUGCAUUUCAACCGAUUACUUUCCCAAUUCAAAAAAAUUUAAGCAUUUUGGUGGACAAAUAAUACAAGCAUGUCUAUAACUGACUUGUAUUGUUUAUUAGGGUGUAGCAUCUGUUUUCAUGAAUGACCACAAUCAUGAUGUUUUAAAUUAGAUUUAUGAACAAAUCUCGAAUGGGUGUUUAAUGAAUAAAGUAAUGCAGAAAUCCCCAAAAGAAAUGUACUCCCUCCUUCUGAGUUUGACUGUGAAAUCUCAUCGAAAGAGACUAGCGUAUGUCUAAAAUGGCAUAAUCACCCUAGUGUUAGCAUUUGCAUACCCUUAAUCUUGCCGAAUUUCAUAAAGGGGGGAGUGUGUACCUUACUGGGUGUUGGCUGUAAACCAACUUCAUCUUCUUCUUCGACAAUAACAGGGUAAGGGGAUUUCUGCUCUUUCUCAUCAAUGGUGGCUUUGAUCUUUGUUAUGGAUGAUCUGAAAAUGGGGAAUUGGGUCGGGUUGUAAAGGAGAGGGCGAUUGGGUGGUCGCAGAAAGAGGUGAGCCGAACUAGAAAUCACCACACAUGGG